rnacentral:rRNA from 1 species
AACGUCCUACGGGAGGCAGCAGUGGGGAAUAUUGGACAAUGGGGGAAACCCUGAUCCAGCGACGCCGCGUGGGUGAAGAAGUAUUUCGGUACGUAAAGCUCUAUCAGCAGGAAAGAAAAUGACGGUACCUGACUAAGAAGCCCCGGCUAACUACGUGCCAGCAGCCGCGGUAAUACGUAGGGAGCAAGCGUUGUCCGGAAUUACUGGGCGUAAAGGGCGCGUAGGAGUGUGCUUAAGUCAGGUGUGAAAACUCUGGGCUCAACCUGGAGACUGCACUUGAAACUGGGUAUCUUGAGGGCAGGAGG